rnacentral:rRNA from 1 species
UGGGGAAUUUUGGACAAUGGGGGAAACCCUGAUCCAGCCAUCCCGCGUGUGCGAUGAAGGCCUUCGGGUUGUAAAGCACUUUUGGCAGGAAGGAAACGUCAUGGGUUAAUACCCCGUGAAACUGACGGUACCUGCAGAAUAAGCACCGGCUAACUACGUGCCAGCAGCCGCGGUAAUACGUAGGGUGCAAGCGUUAAUCGGAAUUACUGGGCGUAAAGCGUGCGCAGGCGGUUCGGAAAGAAAGAUGUGAAAUCCCAGAGCUCAACUUUGGAACUGCAUUUUUAACUACCGGGCUAGAGUGUGUCAGAGGGAGGUGGAAUUCCGCGUGUAGCAGUGAAAUGCGUAGAUAUGCGGAGGAACACCGAUGGCGAAGGCAGCCUCCUGGGAUAACACUGACGCUCAUGCACGAAAGCGUGGGGAGCAAACAGG